GAAGGGGGCUAGCGUUGCUCGGAAUUACUGGGCGUAAAGGGCGCGUAGGCGGCUCCGUUAGUCAGGCGUGAAAGUCCUGGGCUCAACCUGGGAACUGCGCUUGAUACGGCAGGGCUAGAGGAUGGAAGAGGGUCGCGGAAUUCCCAGUGUAGAGGUGAAAUUCGUAGAUAUUGGGAAGAACACUGGUGGCGAAGGCGGCGACCUGGUCCAUUACUGACGCUGAGGCGCGACAGCGUGGGGAGCAAACAGGAUUAGAUACCCUGGUAGUCCACGCCGUAAACGAUGUGCGCUGGAUGUUGGGUGGCCUAGCCACUCAGUGUCGUAGCUAACGCGGUAAGCGCACCGCCUGGGGAGUACGGCCGCAAGGUUG
rnacentral:rRNA from 1 species